AAAAGCUUGGAAAUGGGAAGGAGAAGAGAGGGCUCUUGCUGUGAAGAUAUCUGUGUACUCAGCCCUGCUUCCCAAGCUGUGACCAGACAUCGCUUGCUGAUAAGAAGAUGCUGGCUCUUCUUACGACCAGGGCCAUUGUGUCAAAGCACUCAUGAUCUUGCUGUAAGCUACCCACUACUCCAUACAGAGAGAACUGAAGACAAAUUCCUGCCAUAAGGCUCACCAGCGUGGAGCUCUCUGUUCACGUGGGCUCACAGAAGCAGCAGAGGCAGUCUGCACAAACCUGAAAACCUUGAUUUGCUAUCUGGUUGCUGUGUCACAAGAAUGAAGGACGGAGAGCACCAGCUUGUUAAAUCCUGAGUCUUUUAAAGCUGCAUGCACACCUUACAACAGGAGAUUCAAACAUCCUUGAACUACUCGAUGACAUACUGUAAGAAGUAAACAAUCAUCUGGGAGUACACUCAGUACUUUAUGCUUUUACUGUUCUUAUGAAACAUGUGAAACUUCAGUUCUGAUCCCAUCCAGCCUUUCCCUAUACAAAACAAAAGCUGGUCUCUGCCCAUAGGUUUGCAUAAUCUUGACAUGAGAUUACACAGAUAGAAGGUGAUGCAAAAAUUAUGACAGACAGAACAAUGGACAGAAAAAUAAUCACCCUAAAAAUAUACAUCCACUCUAAAGUGCGGUAGACAAAGCCCUCAAAAUUGUCCCUUUCUCUCUAGAGAUUAUGAAAGGGAUAUGGAGAUUUCUGAUUCAGUCAUCCACUUUACAGGCAUCUAAAAUUAGAGGAAUUGAAUCUCAAAGAGUCAGAAUAGCAAAUUGUUGUCAGUUUUCUCUGGGAAUUACAAACCCAAGACCCGGUUGUAUAAAGGAGAGCAAAGGAUUGCUUUUGUGCAUAUUUGUAUGGAGAUGAUCUCAUUCAUGGGAUCAUGCUGCCUGGAAGGAAGUACCAAUGUGCUCUUUGAGAGUUUACCACAUGGGUAAUGGAAACUGAUGUUGUGAAUGGAUCUAAGACAGAUAUUUUAGAAAAGCUGUUGCAAAUAUAUUGGCUAGUGUUGUCAAAUGAAAGCCUAUAAGAUUUUAUGCAGAAAAUGUACACUUUUGGAAUAAUACAGCACUUUUCAUAACAGCAUUUCUUGCCAAUAGAAGAAAAUCUGCAUUAUUUCUACACAAUAAAUACAAA